rnacentral:rRNA from 1 species
AACGAACGCUGGCGGCAUGCCUAACACAUGCAAGUCGAACGAGACCUUCGGGUUUGGUGGCGCACGGGUGCGUAAAGCGUGGGAACCUGCCCUUAGGUUCUGAAUAACUCCCCGAAAUGGGUGCUAGUAACGGAUAAUGUCUUCGGACCAAAGAUUUAUCGCCUUUGGAUGGGCCCGCGUUGGAUUAGCUAGUGGGUAGGGUAAAAGCCUACCAAGGCGACGAUCCAUAGCUGGUCUGAGAGGAUGAUCAGCCACACUGGGACUGAGACACGGCCCAGACUCCUACGGGAGGCAGCAGUGGGGAAUAUUGGACAAUGGGCGAAAGCCUGAUCCAGCAAUGCCGCGUGAGUGAUGAAGGCCUUAGGGUUGUAAAGCUCUUUUACCCGGGAUGAUAAUGACAGUACCGAGAGAAUAAGCUCCGGCUAACUCCGUG